GGGGCUAUAGCUCAGCUGGGAGAGCACCUGCCUUGCAAGCAGGGGGUCAGCGGUUCGAAUCCGCUUAGCUCCA
rfam:Thermoactinomyces sp. Gus2-1 rep_c376, whole genome shotgun sequence.